rnacentral:rRNA from 1 species
CCUACGGGAGGCAGCAGUCGAGAAUCAUUCACAAUGGGGGAAACCCUGAUGGUGCGACGCCGCGUGGGGGAAUGAAGGUCUUCGGAUUGUAAACCCCUGUCAUGUGGGAGCAAAUUAAAAAGAUAGUACCACAAGAGGAAGAGACGGCUAACUCUGUGCCAGCAGCCGCGGUAAUACAGAGGUCUCAAGCGUUGUUCGGAAUCACUGGGCGGAAAGCGUGCGUAGGCUGUUUCGUAAGUCGUGUGUGAAAGGCGCGGGCUCAACCCGCGGACGGCACAUGAUACUGCGAGACUAGAGUAAUGGAGGGGGAACCGGAAUUUUCGGUGUAGCAGUGAAAUGCGUAGAUAUCGAGAGGAACACUCGUGGCGAAGGCGGGUUCCUGGACAUUAACUGACGCUGAGGCACGAAGGCCAGGGGAGCGAAAGGGAUUAGAUACCCGUGUAGUC